AUGUUGCCUAGCAACAUAAAUGGCGGGGAUUCUGCGUCCCUGGAUCUACGUUUUAUAUCUAAAACUAACAAACAAACAACAAAAGCCAAUUUAAAAUGAGUAAUUGGAGUCAUUAAGUGACUCAUCUUUGUGGUUUUAGAUGUAGCAUUUUAAUGGGAAGUAGAGUCGUCAUCCAAUACAUUCAUGGACUUACCUGGGAACAGUUUCAAAAUUUCCAUGACACCUGAGGGCAUCACAGGCAAUUACCAUGUGAAGCAAACACCGGAGACUUCAAAGUGAAAUAAAGAGAAAUGGAGCAUGUCA